UUUUUUGAUUGUUGCAGAAAUGUGUUUACAGUAGCAAAACAGCAAAAGAAAAAAUCAAUUCUUAAACCAUUUACCUUACCUUAAAAUUUAAAGUGUAAACUCAUUUCCUUAUAUCAUUGAAGUUCAUGGUAGAGUAACUUUUAAUUUGUAACAUUUACCAAUGGAGAUAAUCACAGUCAGUCACAGCCUUUUACUCAUUUGCAGAAAACGUGCUAUGAUUAAAACAACAUUGAUCUAUUUUCAAAUGUACAAUUGUAACCAGAGACAACAAGCUAGGAACCAAGAUAAAACAACUUUGAACUAAUAGGAAGUAAGUGUACUUAACAGCUAACCUGGGUACUUUAGAGAUCACAUACCACCAAAACGUAAUGCAAAAAAAGCACUCGGUUCACUCUCUUCAACAUCUACACUUCUGUUUAUUUUCUUAAGCAGAUCAGGGCUGCCCAAAGUUAGACCAUUAGGACUUUUAAUUUGGCCCAACAGAAAGAGAGAACAAACUUUUUUUAUAUACCAUGUAUAACUUUCAAAAUUAUUAUCUCCAGGUAUUUGGAAAACACAGACAAUAAUAAACAAAUGUAUUUGAGUAGUAAUAUAAAGACCUAUAUUGUUUCACCACGUAAAAUUACAUAAUAAACAGAUUUUUGUUUAAAUGUCCAACUUCAUACUUUGACUUUAAUGUUUUAAGACAUGGCCUCCAGUGAUGCUUUGUAUGAUAAUCCUGUACAGCUGUCUUAUGUAUUUCAAGAGUUUGCAGUUUUCUAUUCUGUGUCUAGAUUAAAAAAACAAACAAACAAAAACAAAACAGCACAGUUAAUUCAGUACAGCAGAGCCGUGCGAACCAGAAAAAAAAAGAUCUAUGGGAGGACAAACAAAAGACUGGCGGGAGUUUCAGACCAAUCAGAGCGCGAUACUCCGCCGCUUGGACGUUCGGUUUUGAAGCGCGAGCGCUCUCCGCCGUUCCUCCUUUUAAAGCCGAACGCGACCGUUACGAGCCGUUUACAGUGAGUGACUCAGUCACGUCGCUAACGCGGGCAGUUUUAUCGAGUUUGUUUAGCGAGUGUUAAACCUCGAUAAGACCGUCUCUUACAUUCCUUACUAAGACAGCGCCGCCUGCCGGGUGACGCUUUCAGCUCCCAAAAACGAGGAGUUUUCAGCUGCGUAGUAAGCUAACUAAGUUAGCUGGCUGGAUCGAGUGGAGUGGCGACUGGAGUUACGACUGCAACGGUCAGAAUCUGCUUUUAAAAGGUGAGUAGUGACAAAAUGAGAUGAGCAGCCUCACUAACAGUCAGCUGGAGUAAACUUUUUUUUCUAUAUUUCUGGGUCGAUCUGCAGAGUGAAGACACCAGCGUUAGGUUAGCGUAUAGUUAGCUAGCUAGCGGCUAAGCGGCGUGUCUGUUUAUGCCUCUCGGCUGCGUCAGAUUUCGCUUAGCACCCGCUCCCAGCGGCGCCCUGUGAACAUACCGCCCAGCUUCACAGCUGUCUCAUCCCAGCAGUGCAGCCACAGAGGCUCAUAAGGUUUGGAGUAUUGACAGGUGAGGAACUGUGCUUGUGCGCAGCAGAAUCAGUCAGUUGAAGCAUUGAGGUAGCUGGAGCAAAUGAAAGGCCUCAGAAUUAAAUCUAAGAUUGAUCACAGUGUAACGAGGUUAGCAAACUGAACAAUACAACAAUGAAACUGAACAUAGUCCGUCAGUCUGUGUAGUUCAGAGAAGGUAGUAAUAAUUUUAAUUUGCUCAGUUACAUUUACUCUAGUAACAUCUGGGUGGAUUUGUACUCUAGAGUUUUUUAAAAUGUAUUUGUGCUUUAUAAUAAUAAUCUAUGUUUUACUCGGCUACAUUUAUUAGUAAUAUAUAAUGACCGGUUUGUUUUGUGUUUUUCAUUGUUAUGCUUUGAUGUUGUUGUUUUGCCGCAUUUACCUCAUGUGUCUGUUUUGUUUUAGAUGUUUCUCAUCAGAAAUUAUCUGAAGCUGAGCAACUGGAACAUCCUCUUUUUGGGCCUCAUCCAGUAUGGUGGCAGUCCAUAUCAUUCUCAACACUCAACUGUGCUCUUACCCAAGUGGCCUCAUCUUGAUGCUUCUUUCAUUACACUGAACAUCAUUGCCUGAACAUCAGCUAUGCGUGUGAGCUGGGUGCCACGAGGGAGAAACUUUUCUCAGCUGCCUGAGGGCUGGAGUUCCCCAGCCCUUUUCCUUUGUUACAAGAUGAUGUAAUCCCAUAACACAAUCCUUAUUGCCCACCUACCAGCGAACUUGGCAUGCCCUCACACAACGCAACGCAUCUACCGGAGGCCGUGUAUUGGCGGAACCACUCUGGCUCUUGAUCAGUCAGAGCCAAGUGAGCGAGCUAACUAAUCUGAGCGUACUGGGCUCAUCAGGAAGGAGGGGCUUAAAGACCAGGAGCUCUAACAGAGUGUUUCAGACAGAGGAUGCAUUUUCCUCAUAUCUCUGACAAAGAAGACCAACACUGAGAAAAAACAGAGGAAGAAGCGAUGGGCUGUGAUUCUGACAGCUCUCUCACUCAUCAUGGAUUUAACUCUGAAAGGAAAGAUCGGUAACAGCAUUAGCAGUGUGAUAUCAGUAAUGUUAGUGUUCAGGCAUUAUGGCAUGGACAUAUGCACAUCGAGUUAUCUGUGUCCUGUUUCCUGUGUCCACAUAUGUCCACAUAAAAUGUCCACAGCUUGGCUCUAUUCCAGCUACCAGCACAUCUGAGUCUGGUAUUAAUUGUUUGACAGCUGAUCAUUAUCUGGCUCAGGUAUGUUAGGAGUGCUGCUGGGGUUCAGACCUCUGUAUUACUCUGUUGGUCAGUUUUUCU